GUUUGGAGGUGUGUAGUGAUGAUGAACUCUGAAGCUACAUGAAGUUUGGAGGUGUGUAGUGAUGAACUCUGAAGCUACAUGAAGUUUGGAGGUGUGUAGUGAUGAACUCUGAAGCUACAUGAAGUUUGGAGGUGUGUAGUGAUGAACUCUGCUGAAGCUACAUGAAGUUUGGAGGUGUGUAGUGAUGAUGAACUCUGAAGCUACAUGAAGUUUGGAGGUAUGUAGUGAUGAACUCCGAAGCUACAUGAAGUUUGGAGGUGUGUAGUGAUGAUCUAAUCUGAAGCUACAUGAAGUUUGGAGGUGUGUAGUGAUGAACUCUGAAGCUACAUGAAGUUUGGAGGUGUGUAGUGAUGAUGAACUCUGAAGCUACAUGAAG